AGACUCUCCCACCAGUGGAAACAUCCUCUCCACAUCCACUCUUUCCAGGCCUUUCACUAUUCAGUAAACUAAAAUGGUGCUCCUUCAACCUACGGUAAUUAAUCGAUCAUGUUGGAAGAAUGAACAAACAUGCUUCAAGGGGUCCUCAGUUUUAUGAAGAUGCAUAUGUUGACAGUUCUGGCAAGGGAGUUGUGAACCUUACUCAGGUGAUGGGUCACAAUAUUAAAGGAUAACAACUACAAGAGAAGAUUAGAAGUUGUCUAACCUGUGGUAAUUAUUUCACCUCUUGACAUUUCUAAGUCUUUUCAUCAUCUACUAGACAAAAAUCGGGAAUGCGCUGGAAUACUCUCCACUUGCCAGGAUGAGUACGGCAAGAAGCCCAACAGCAUCCAGGCCAAAGCCAAAUGUUAGAUUCACACAAUAAAUAUUCCUUCCCUUAAUUGCCAGCCCAUUCUUGUUGCAGUGUGCAUCAUCCACAAAAUGCUCUUCAGUUACUCACCCAGUCUAUUUUGACAAAACCUCCUACUAGGAAAGACAUAAACAGAUGCAUAAGAUGCAUAGGAACAAUAUCAUCUGCCGGAUCUCCAAGUCUCAUUUCUGCCUGGUUUUGAAAUGUACUGUCGACCUUUCAACAUCACAUCUCAAGGGUAAUAAAUGCUGACUUUGCCUAAAAUAUAUAUAUGUUUUUAAGUUCUUCAUUUUCCAUGCCCAUUUUUUGGGCUGCAAUGUAUUGGUUACUUUGGGAGGUAAGUGCUUAAUAUUUUCUUGUUUGAGAGAGUAACUAUAGUUAAGGACAUGAAUUACCACUUCAGUCUCCUGAAAUUUGAUUGAUUGCCUUCAGGAGGUGGAAUGGAAUAUCCCAGAGAUUGUUUUCCUGUAUCCAAAUAAAUAUUUUCACUCUGGCUUUUGUGUCCCUCCUAAGAGAUUUUAUGAUUGAUGGUGCUUGUAAUCAGCACCUUGUCUGGAUCCGACAGACUGGAUGGACUCGUUUUUUGAUGCUGUUUUUAGAUAUUGCUAUGUGCAGUUCAGCUGAUUCUUCAUUGGCAAAUCAUUACACUAUAGUAGCUGGAAUUCCACACCUGGAUGGCAGAAUGUUCCAGAAAUCUUCACGUUAAUCACAUUGUCAUCUUAUCUGUUUACUGUGUGAGUAAAGUUAUCGAGGUAGAGUAUAGGCAGUGAGUAGAUCAAACAUUAUGUUUGCAUAAAGAGCUGAAAAGCAAUGAAUGAUUCUGGAAUUUGACCAGAUUUUGUGUACACGCACUUUAUGUGCAGUAUGUAGAUGAUGCAAUGAUGCAGACAGAAACAUUAUAAUGGAAAUCAAAUGAUGCAGGUAUUGUUGCAAAAAUCUUUGCUUGUGUUAAUCCCGCAACUAUAUAAAAUGUAAAUUGAGAUCCUGUCACACUCUUAAUCUUGGUUAAAGAAGGAAAACAAUUGCAUAUCAUUUGUUAAAUGAAUCACUCUUAAGGGCCUGUCCCACUUAGGCGACUUUUUAGGCAGGAGACUCUGUGCACGCUUCAUGAUCGCCACAUGGUCGCCACAUGUUCGCUGGUGGUCUCUGGUGAGUCUCCUUCAUGGUCGCGAGGAGUUCCCACA